AUUACCCUAAUUUUUAAAUUUAAAGAGAGAAGUGAAAAGGAGAAGCUAUUUGGGAUUUAUUGAGAUUUUAUUUUAUUAUGUCAUGCUCAGCAUCAUGUUUUACUUUAUUUUGUUUCCUUCUUAGAAGAACAAUUCUGCAGGGGAGUAUUUCUUCUAUAAGCAUUUCACAAACAAGGCUCAGAAGCGUCGGAUAAUUCCGGAGAGACCACAAAGCUAAAAAGGAACGGAAAUGGGAUUCUAACUCAGAAGAUGCUUUGCCCACGAGUCAAUGAGUUGCACGGAUGCUUUGGGCAAGGUCAUUCUAAAAGAAUGCCCUUUUCCCUGUUUCCCCACCCUCAAACCUCUUACGCAAUCAUUUAUUCUGCUGGAUUGACUUUAAAAAAGGUCGAGAGGAGCGAACACCUUCCAAACCCCUUUGGCUGCUUCUGCCUCAAAUGUAAGCCUCUUCCCCAGGAACUGGACAUUCAUAACCAGAAAUCAGAGGAGUGGGACCCAGGCUAAGGUGUCCCGCAUUACCUCAUUGAGAGCUGGGCGAAAGUAUCUUGAAAAUCACGGUGAAUGACACAAACGGAAUGAUUGGUAAUGACUGUGAAUGAAAAUCACAGUGAAGAAUUCUUGAACACUAUCUCUGAAACUAAUGAUCUGGCUAACUGAAUUAAAAUUAAAAAAGAAAAAGAAAAAGAAAAGAAAGAAAAUCACAGUGAGUGAUUUCAAACGGUCCUUGAAACAAAAAGGACUUGACAUCAUAAUUCCAGAGGAGAACCUCUUCAGGUAUUUUUGGAGGCUUCUCUGUCUUCCCGGUCACAUUCGCCUCUCAAAUGGAGAAGAGAACUUUAAGUGUAAGUAUCUCGGCCGUGAAGCAAAAUAGUGCGACUGGGAGUCAGGAAACUUGGAACUGAAUUUCAGUUCUGCCAUUAUCAGGCUAGUUAAAAUUCUUCACGUUUUGCAGCAAACGGUUCCAUCAGAGCCAGAUAGCGUGGGACUGGGGUGAGUUCUGUCUGGCAAGUAGGAAACCAGUAGUUCUCAGUCUUCGCUGAGUGUUAGAGCUCCUGAGCAGCUUACACACAUCCUGGUGCCCAGGUGACACCUCAGAUCAAGGAAAGCAGCCCCUGUGGAGGUGAGACCCUGGCCCACACCCCUGGGGAUUACAAUGUAUGCCUCCAGCUGAGGCCCACAGGCUUGCAGGAUGAAUGCUGGGAGAGUGUGGGUGAAGCUUUGUGUGACAGAAACGAGGAGGGAGAGAGGUCCUGCCUGGCGCUACCCUGGGGAGUCAACUAAGUGGGAACAUACAGUGUGGCCUGCAGAGUCUGCCUGGGGCGAGGGGCCCAACGGGGACCAACACGGGGAUCAAGGGAUCGUAAAGCUACAAACAUCAACAAGCGUGUGUUUGUGGACUCUGGUCUCAUUUUCAUGUCACCAGGCUUGCCUCCCCUUGCUCUGUGGGCUUCUAACACUCGUAUUUGGCAAAAAUCGUUGGAUUUCUCUGUUCUACAGAGUGGUCAGCGGAAAGGCACUAUUAACCUGAUGUUAUCAUUCGACUGCAUUAGAACACAAGAUUUUCAGAGAUGGUUCAUACCAAAGGAAGGAGUGACCUGGUGAAGCAGGGAAGCGAAGUCUUUCGACCGAAGAGGUCACACUACCCCGGCACCAGCCCAAAGUCGAGGAAUAGGUUGCUUUUUGCGUUUCAUCCUUUCUUCUUCUGGCUACAAGCCUGCAAACACCCGGUAUGCCUCUCUAAUAGGGGACUGUACUAUUACGGCACCAUUAAAAUUCAUUGCACUCAUUUGUCAUUCCUACUGCCUGUACAAUUCAGCCAUAUCUGUUCUUCUCAGCAUUUGUCUAUGUCACAUUUGUAGGAUUGAGCGUCAUUUCCAAAAAAACCUAGUGCUCUCUCUUUCUAGCUCUGGGGAGAAACAAAACAAAACAAAACAAAACAAAACAACCCACUUAGCUUCCAAUCUUCAUUCUGUGGUUCCUAACCCUAAAUUUGCAGACAUAGGAUUUAUUUAAGGGAACGAAAGCUGAAUUAUGCUUUAAACCAUUUUUAAAAAAACCGAUUUUGAUUAUUAAUUCCUAUUUUUCCUACCUAACCAGUCUGGGGCUGAAUAGGAGUUUCGCCUGAAGAUGUAGCUAUCCUUGAAUUUAUAGAAGAGCUACGAAGAGUAUUGGUUACAAGUAGCCAGCCUUUCAGUGUGUCCUGUCCUUGAACCUUAUUUAAAUUUUGCUUGUGUGAAAAAGUGUAGUAGGCACGGGAAGAGCCAAUAAGGAGUAUGUUAUGGUCUUACGUGGCUGCCUUCCUUCCCAUCUCUCAGAUGUUACUUCCUCAGGUCUUCCCAGACCACCUUAUGGGAGAUGUCCUUAUACCUAAUUUUUGUUAAGUUAUUAAUUCAUUCGGACAAGGAAUACUGUGUUUCUGGAUCAGAGACGCUUUUUAAUUACUCAUAAUUGUGUUAGCUCUCUGUGUCCCAAUCUCCCCCAGGGUGACAUGAGAGGAACUUCCAAAUAAUGAAUUCUUGGGAGUUUGUAUGGAAGCUGACACAGCUGUUGCUCCUCCUCCCCUCCGGGGUGGGGAAGGAGAGGGAGAAAACACAGCCAAGUGACCUUUGCUUUGUAAUAUAAACCAACGCUCUCAGGGGAAUGAGAGGUGGGAGGUCUCUAGAUUUACAACCCCUCGAAUGUAAAUAAAUGUGUCCAAGGAAGA